rnacentral:lncRNA from 1 species
GAAGCUAAGGUUAAGGGUGGUCUACAUUUGGAAUGCCAAAUAACCUACAUGUUCUACUAUGAACAUACAUUUACAUACAAUGACAAUAACAUGGAGUUGAGGAUACAUGAUGAAGGAUAAUAUAAAGUUCAUUCUCCAUACUCUCUAUGAAUACAUUAAGGUACGCUUCCGCUUGAGUUUUAUAUUUAUUCUUGAGGAUUUGACAUGAAGGACAAUAACAUUGAUGAUAGUGUUCAUCAUCUUUAAUAUGUAUUAUGUAUGUUUAAAGUAUAAAGUCUCCCACCAC